GAAGGAAGAUACUAUUUCAAAUGAGUGUCGUUCUGGUGGUGGGAGGGAGGCUAAGACCAAACAAGAAAGAAUGGCUGCGGAGGAUCUACUCGGGAUUCCACUGAUGUGCUAACAGCUGUUAUUACAGUAUCUGGCAUUUUGAAUUAAAUAUUGAUAGAAAUAAAUGAAAAAAGAGAUUGAGUAAACUGAAAUGUGUGUUCUGCCUUCCUAAGAGUACCAGACUCAACACCGUUUUAUACAAUUAAUAGCAUUAAACACCGGCAUCAGCUGACAGGAAAUAAGAAAGUUCCUAUGGCAACUAAAAAUAAGCACAGGAGGAAAAAUGCAUCAGAUGCUGUCAGCAGACAGCAUAAAAGGCAAAUAUAUGGAGAUAACAGCACAAAAGAAUAUACCUGUCUCGUAAACAACAUACAUGCUUGGAUGGCUUGUUUUUGUUGCUUUCUUCCAAACUAGGAACACUGCACCUUACUUAGAGAAUCUACUUAUCAACAGCUAAAUCACCUUGCAGACUGAGGCUCCUGGUUUAUGUGCUGUGCAACGUGCAAGCAGAGGCAAGGUGAGUGCACAGCUGUACUGAUGAGGGUACAGCUUAGCCACGUGUAAGCUGUCAUCUCAGUGGGAGAAUGAGUUUUAAGACCAUGUAACUCUUGAACUUCUUGGAUUACCUGCUUUUCCCAUCUAUCUGGUUUCUCCUACCUCUACUUCUCUCACAAGAAGCAAAGCCGAGCCUGCCCCACACCUGUGUGAUGUGGAGAAAGCUGCAUCAUUUUCCCUUCGCUCUUCGUGCUCUCAAGUUUCAAUUGCUCCUGCAGACCCUUCUGGGCUCUCUCUUCUGAGACAUCUUGGCCGUAAAGUACCUCUACAGACAUAAAAUCAUUUUUUCUGUGUGAAGAUGUUGCUAUUUUCACAGUAAAAUACUCCUGCUGUGCAGUGCUGCACCUCCACACAGGACCCUUGUCACAGUGGCUGUGCCCUUGUGGCUCUGCCUGACGCUUCAGAGGCAAGCCCGCAGCUCCCCAUGUCCUGGCCAGCUCAGGAAACUUGGCUGCUGAGCAGGAGAAGACAGCCCCACACACAGCAAAGCCUGAGAACUGUUUACAAAAUAGUCCACAGAUCUCCUGGCAGACUCCGAAGCUAAACACAGUCCCCAGCCAAAGUCUGUGUUUUGGAAACUGUUUCUUUGUUUUCAACUUCAGCAGAAACUCUGGCUGCCAGGCAUGUGCAGAUAACACAGAGGAGAUAAUAACAGCGUUUACCUAUGACUUUGUUCAGCACAAUCUCUUACAGAGCAUGCUGAAAAUAUGCAGAGAGUCAAUCUGUGCAUGGCUUGGUAUGGAUGUAAUUCAUUUGGCAACACUACUUAGGCAUGGAUGGCUGAUGGACCAAUACAAGUCAUUGGCUACAGAGAAGGUUAAUCAGAGAAAUGUUCUCAUUAACCUGAAUCUGAUUCUCCUCUUCAUUACUGAAAACUAGAUCAUUUUCACUAUGCAGG
rnacentral:lncRNA from 1 species